CGGGUGCGUAACACGUGAGCAACCUGCCGAUCUGAGGGGGAUAGCCGGCCCAACGGCCGGGUAAUACCGCAUACGUUCUCGAGGGGGAGUCCCCUUGGGAAGAAACCUCCGGGGCAGAUCGAGGGGCUCGCGGCCUAUCAGCUAGUUGGUGAGGUAACGGCUCACCAAGGCAUCGACGGGUAGCUGGUCUGAGAGGAUGGCCAGCCACAUUGGGACUGAGAGACGGCCCAG
rnacentral:rRNA from 1 species